UCAACUUUGAAAAUGAAAGUUGAACAAGGAUGUAUAUCAUUGUCCAAAUAGGCGAACGCACAGAACCGUCACCUUAUACCAUUCUCAACUUGGAAAAUGAAAAUUGAAACAAGGAAGUUGGGAGACAGUCCGGUGCCAGACCGAAGGUGGAUGCCGAUGGACGCCUAAUCACGCCAGCACGCCGGCGAAAGAAGUUGUUCUAGCAGUAGUCUACCCGAGAAGCUCAGCAGUGCCAUUCAUAGAAUCACUCAUCUAGCAAUACCAAGAAAGUACUUAAAACUGAGCUGAAGAUGGCAAGCCCAAGUUGGUAAAUCCAAAUACCCCAGCAGGGUGUCAGAAGUCCACACUGAUGUCCACCAA